UACGGAGGGUGCAAGCGUUAUCCGGAUUCACUGGGUUUAAAGGGUGCGUAGGUGGGCAGGUAAGUCCGUGGUGAAAUCUCUGAGCUUAACUCAGAAACUGCCGUGGAUACUAUCUGUCUUGAAUAUUGUGGAGGUAAGCGGAAUAUGUCAUGUAGCGGUGAAAUGCUUAGAUAUGACAUAGAACACCAAUUGCGAAGGCAGCUUACUACACAGUAAUUGACGCUGAGGCACGAAAGUGUGGGGAUCAAACAGG
rnacentral:rRNA from 1 species